rnacentral:rRNA from 1 species
AACGAACGCUGGCGGCAUGCCUAACACAUGCAAGUCGAACGAGACCUUCGGGUCUAGUGGCGCACGGGUGCGUAACGCGUGGGAACCUGCCCUUAGGUUCGGAAUAACUCCCCGAAAGGGGUGCUAAUACCAGAUAAUGUCUUCGGACCAAAGAUUUAUCGCCUUUGGAUGGGCCCGCGUUGGAUUAGCUAGUUGGCAGGGUAAAAGCCUACCAAGGCGACGAUCCAUAGCUGGUCUGAGAGGAUGAUCAGCCACACUGGGACUGAGACACGGCCCAGACUCCUACGGGAGGCAGCAGUGGGGAAUAUUGGACAAUGGGCGAAAGCCUGAUCCAGCAAUGCCGCGUGAGUGAUGAAGGCCUUAGGGUUGUAAAGCUCUUUUACCCGGGAUGAUAAUGACAGUACCGGGAGAAUAAGCUCCGGCUAACUCCGUG